UAGCCCAUCCGACUGCCACCAUUUUUCCCCACCUCCAAACUCCACCUCACCGCCGCCGCCGGACACGGCCGCCGCCAUGGGUGAGCGCCUCCUUCUGUCAUCUCCUCUCCCUGUCCCCCGCCAUCUUGCCGGUUUUUGACGGAUUCGUGGUUCGCAAGCGCCUACAGGUUCGUGUAGGAGCUAUGGAGGAGGAAGCAGCCGGACCUGACGAGGGUCGUGCAGCGGCCGGCGACCGUGCGCCGUCUCGGCUCCGAGGCAAACUAGGCUUGGAUUACCUCUCGGAUCCCACCCUCCCUCGUGUUUGUUCUUGAUGCGACUAUCGUUAUUCGUCUGUAUUUUUUGCUCUGUGCGGCUGCGUCGCCGUACUCUAGCGUGUGAAAUGUGACAAUUUUCAUUGAAACCACAUGGCCCAUUAGCACCUGAUAAUGAUAACAAUUUUCAUUUGUGGGAACUGUUUA
rnacentral:lncRNA from 1 species